GACAGAGGGGGCAAGCGUUGUUCGGAUUCAUUGGGCGUAAAGAGCUCGUAGGCGGUGUGUCGCGUCGGCCGUGAAAACCUGCAGCUUAACUGUGGGCUUGCGGUCGAUACGGGCAUCACUGGAGUUCGGCAGGGGAGACUGGAAUUCCUGGUGUAGCGGUGAAAUGCGCAGAUAUCAGGAGGAACACCGGUGGCGAAGGCGGGUCUCUGGGCCGAUACUGACGCUGAGGAGCGAAAGCGUGGGGAGCGAACAGG
rnacentral:rRNA from 1 species